GCGAUCUGUGGCGAUGGUGAGCGAUGCUAAAUAUCUGAAAAGAUUGAAUUUCAUAAUCUUUUCAAUGAUCUGGAUUGCCCUCCGAAGGCAGAGGUCACAGGUUCGAAUCCUGUCGGGUGCGCCA
rnacentral:tRNA from 1 species